CGCGUCGGCCGGGCCGCCGCCUCGGGCCGGGCCGCGUGCGGCGCACGCCCGGGGAGGAACGUCCGGACACCGCAGGGCACUGUGCUUCCUAACGGGAAGGCGCCCGCCCCGCCCCGGCCUGCUUCGGCAGACGGGCGGGGUGGCGCGACGGCACGUGCAACAGAGAACAGACCAGCCGAUGGCCCGGGCCGCUCGCGGCGCGCGGCACAGGUGAUGGGUGAAACGGUGGGGUAAGAGCCCACCAGCGCGGCCGGCGACGGCCGCGGCUAGGCAAACCCCACGGGGUGCAAGGCCACACAGCGUCCGCCCCGCCCGACCCGACCGCCCGCGGUCGGGGCCGAGCGGGAAAGGGUGCCCGCCCGAGGACGCGGGUAGGCCGCUCGAGGCCGCCGGCGACGGCGGUCCCAGAUAGAUGGCGGCCCAGGGCGGCGGUGGCGACGGCCGCCGCCCGGACAGAAUCCGGCGUACAGGCCGGCGCGCGUC
rnacentral:RNase_P_RNA from 2 species